rnacentral:rRNA from 1 species
AUUGAACGCUGGCGGCAUGCCUUACACAUGCAAGUCGAACGGCAGCACGGGAGCAAUCCUGGUGGCGAGUGGCGAACGGGUGAGUAAUAUAUCGGAACGUGCCCAGUCGUGGGGAUAACGUAGCGAAAGCUACGCUAAUACCGCAUACGAUCUAUGGAUGAAAGCGGGGGAUCGCAAGACCUCGCGCGAUUGGAGCGGCCGAUAUCAGAUUAGGUAGUUGGUGAGGUAAAGGCUCACCAAGCCGACGAUCUGUAGCUGGUCUGAGAGGACGACCAGCCACACUGGGACUGAGACACGGCCCAGACUCCUACGGGAGGCAGCAGUGGGGAAUUUUUGGGACAAUGGGCGCAAGCCUGAUCCAGCAAUGCCGCGUGCAGGAUGAAGGCCUCGGUU